ACCAAACGCAGUGGUGCUCGUGGUGGUGAUUCAUGGAGCGUAAAGGUGGUCUCAUUCAUCACCUGUAUCCACCUUGUCUCCAACUUCUCUCCGUCAUCACCUCUCUCUCUCUCUCUCUCUCUGUGUUUGGUGGUGUUACGCCUGAGAAGAUUGGUGUUCAAGGCGAGUAGCAGUUACAUUGGCGGUGGUGCAGUGGUGGCCAACCGCCUAAGAAGAAGCUCCGGUGUGGCAAGAUUGACAGCGGUAAAGGCAGGCUGAGAUUGAAGGAGGAGGACGCUUGCUGAGAUUGACGGCGGAGAUGAAUCAAUGACGGCAAAGAUGAUUAGGUUUAGGUUUCUCUGGUUUAGUUGAGGUUUAUUUGGUUUACUUUAUUUUUAAAUUUUGGUUUAGUUUUG
rnacentral:lncRNA from 1 species